CCUCCGGGACGCACCCGCGUCUGAGCGCACCUUGACGCGUGAAGUUCAAGGGGAACUAGAUGCGCCGGCUGCUGCUUCUUCCUCCAGGCUCAAGUUUCAGUCUCCUUCGGGUCUUGUUCCCUAGGCGGCGGCUCUGCCAAGAGCUCACCUGCGGGCGCACGGGUGGAGGAAGCGGGCUCCAACCACCCAGACAAUUGCACCCAGCUCCUCCAAGGAGCUGAGCCCGAGGCCCCAGAGCUGGAGUUCAGGAACUCUGGCAGGGUCUGAGCCCUGAGAACUGCUCCGAGCGCCUGGGAGGGGGGAGAUAAGGGUCGCGAAGAGCUGUAACUCCUUCCCCAAGGCGGGUCCCCAGAACGCCAUGCGCUACCCGGAGUGCGGAACGUGGUGGCUGUCGCGUUCGGGCUGUUGAGGAGGGGGAUUGAUGGAUGUCAGUGGUUGCCCCAGGAGUGGAUGGGAUGAUGGAAAACCCGAAGAGAAGGUUCUCACUUCAGGGCGAGGAGUGCGCGUCCCUCUUUCCUGAUGAAGACCAGGUUGGAGGGGAGGACAGGCAAGAGGGGGCCUCACUAUGGGAUUCUUUGGCCACACAUACUCCAUCAUUGUCAUCCUCCAGCCUCAUCAGAUGGCUGAACCAGAGGUGCCUCCCUGAUCUUGGACCGUGAUCUUCCAAAACCAUGAGGCAGUCUUCCAAGUCAUGUACUUCUUCCUGAAGAAGAACUGGACCCAGAAAGAGGCCUAGGACUCUCACCGAUGCGCAAGCCAGAAAGGUGAGUGGUCAGAGCCUCUUCAUCUGCCCGCUCACCUGAAUUCUCAACUAGCACUGAUUUGGUGCAGACCGGCAUCAUCAAUUUUAAAUGUUUUCUAUUGUAUACCCAGAAAGGAUAUUAUUUUUCAGCUUAUAAGAAUUGAAGUCAGA